GUGCUGAUGGCCGAGAUGGUUAGGCACUGGGUUGCAACCCCAGGCACGCAGGUUCGAGUCCUGUUCGGCACU
rnacentral:tRNA from 1 species